rnacentral:rRNA from 1 species
CCUACGGGAGGCAGCAGUGGGGAAUAUUGCUCAAUGGGGGAAACCCUGAAGCAGCGACGCCGCGUGAGGGAAGAAGUAAUUCGUUACGUAAAGCUCUAUCAGCCGGGAAGCAAUACUGACCUUACGGUCAGCAGACGGUACCCGAGUAAGAAGACCCGGCUAACUCCGUGCCAGCAGCCGCGGUAAUACGUAGGGGGCAAGCGUUAUCCGGAUUUACUGGGUGUAAAGGGAGCGGAGACGGUGCGCCAAGUCUGGAGGGAAAUGCCGCAGCUUAACUGCGGAAGUGCUGUGGAAACUGGCUAACUUGAGUGCGGGAGGGGUAAGCGGAAUGCGGAGUGUAGCGGUGAAAUGCUUAGAUAUUAGGAGGAACACCGAUUGCGAAGGCAGCUUACUGGAGCGGAACUGACGUUGAGGCACGAAAGCGUGGGGAGCAAACAGGAUUAGAUACCCUUGUAGUC